AUUGAACGCUGGCGGCAUGCUUUACACAUGCAAGUCGAACGGCAGCGCGGGCUUCGGCCUGGCGGCGAGUGGCGAACGGGUGAGUAAUAUAUCGGAACGUACCCAAGAGUGGGGGAUAACGUAGCGAAAGUUACGCUAAUACCGCAUACGAUCUAAGGAUGAAAGCAGGGGAUCGCAAGACCUUGUGCUCCUGGAGCGGCCGAUAUCUGAUUAGCUAGUUGGUGGGGUAAAGGCCCACCAAGGCAACGAUCAGUAGCUGGUCUGAGAGGACGACCAGCCACACUGGAACUGAGACACGGUCCAGACUCCUACGGGAGGCAGCAGUGGGGAAUUUUGGACAAUGGGCGCAAGCCUGAUCCAGCAAUGCCGCGUGAGUGAAGAAGGCC
rnacentral:rRNA from 1 species